UAUUUUUUUUUUCGUAACAUUUAGAGGAAAUUUUUGGUCAGAUUGAAAAAGGCCUAAUCUGGGUCAGAUGACACUUUUAUUUAUUUAUUUAUUUUUUUCUUUAUUGCUGUCCUUCGGAUUGUGAUCCAUGGAUUCCUUGAGUGCCUACUUUUAUUAUUUUGUUUCCAAGAAGCAGCCCUAUGUAGAAAAUUUUACUCUCAUAUAGAUUUGGCAGUUGCAAUUCAGUCAUGCUUUUAACAAUUUCGCAACUGUCAACUGGCAUGACUGAAUUUUUUUUUUUUUUUACUACAAAAAAUUAGCAUUCUUCCUUUCCCUUUUGAUUGCAAAUGGCAUCAUAACUGAGCUGAAUUGUCAGUUGGGAGUUUGCAUGUGUUAUUGUCUUACCAGCAAAAUUAUGAACUUGUUUGAUAUCAGUAGUUGAUAAUGAAAUCUGUAUAUUCUUUUCUAAAUCUUGAACAUGGACCUUCAAGUUGUGACACAAAUAGUUAUGGUUACUAAUGAAAGCUCUGUUUUAAUUUCUGAUUAUAUAUGUUUGGAUGCAAGGGAUUUAUGGUUGACAGUUUAAACCUUUUGCUGUUGAUGUAUAAUUAUACCAAGCACAGGGUUUGGGUUUUUGGGUCUUCAUUGUUUUUAUUUUUUAUUUUUUUUAAUUCUGUUUUAAUUAUUUGCUGUAAAUUUGUUGGUUUUGGUUUUGCUCUUGAAAGUUGGGUUCAUGAGAGUACCCCUGUGAAAAUGGAAAUCAUAUCUGUUGUAUGAAUAUGAUUUGAAAGAAGUCAAGGGAUUAGUCUGUAGCUUGAUUAGUCUGUGCUGAGAUGGCAUGGUUGUUGUCUGCUGCUGCUGUUGCUGUUGCUGUUGCUGUUGCUGUUGUUGUUGUUGAUGUUGUUGUUGCUGUUGUUGCUGCUGCUGCUUACCUUUAUAGUUCUAGAAGUAUUCUGUUUGGUUCUAGUUAUUAUCCAUAGUUAAUUCAUUGACAUGAGUCCUCCACAUGGCUUACCCCAUCCCUUCUUCCGUUUUGGAAAUCCUUCCCGGAUGAUAUCACCCAAGGGUUGCAAUUUGUCUGAAAGGCUUCUUUUACUGUUGAACAAUUUUGAGGAAACCUUGGGUGGGAGGCUGAGAAAGCUUAACCCAACGGAGCAGGUUACGAACUCAGCCAAAGGGAAGGUUUUAAUGCGUGCUAUGUAUGGGGUUUUUUUUGAUGGUAUUUAUCUACAGUGUCUUUUCUUCACCCUUCUCUAGUUCUGCAAUAGAGUUGUUUGAUUUGAAUGUUGAUGACAAAGGGUUUUGUGGGCUCAAGCUUUUACUAGUUUGCAAACUAGCAUUAAUAGUGAAAUUAGAAAUUUAUAUUCAAGUGGAAGAUUUACAGUUUUGAAAGAGCUCGAAGCAGUUGAUACAAGUGUAAAUAAAUUGUAUCCCACGAUCCAAGGUGGUGUGGACCCUAUUAAAGCGGAAGCAUUCCUUGUCAUCCGUUUCAGAUUUGGCAAGGAGAGCAGAGGGACUUCCAUAGGGACUAUAGAUCUUCUUACAAAGGAAGUUGAUGGCUUUUUUCAUGUAGUUUUAACUAGGCGUGAUGCUUUGCUAUGUAAUGGUACUCUGUGACCCAAAGCUAGGUUGCUACAUAUGUAGAAAGAGUACAAUCUUAAUGAUAUUGAAGCUAUACUCUCUCCUGUAUACAAACAGGUUUUAUA